rnacentral:lncRNA from 1 species
AGAGAACAUUUAAAUUUCUCCUUGGACUCAAUAAAGAUCUUGAUCAGGUUAGGAGCCGUGUACUCGGGACAAAGCCUCUACUGCGCCCUCGUGAAGCCUUUUCUGAAGUUAGGCGUGAAGAAAGUAGGAAAAAGGUGAUGAUGGGGUCAUCAGAACCAACACUGGAUGCCUCUGCACUAGCUGCCCGUGCAUCCAACUCUGUAGGGGUUAGUGAAAAUCGUACAAAGAAAGAAAGACCAUGGUCCGAUCACUGUUGUAAUGCAGGCCACUAUAAGGAGAGUUGCUGGAAAAUUUAUGGCAAACCUGCUGAUUGGAAACCUCGUUCCAAAGGUGACCGUGAAUCUCGUGCUCAUGCAGCAUCCACCACGGACAAUCAGGCCUACCCGAGCCAAAUCCAUUCAGCAAGGAGCAAAUGGAGAUUCUUCAAAAGCUUUUCGAUCAAGCCACUUUGAACUCCAAUGCAGGGACAAGUCUAGUGGCUCAGAAAGAGACUCAUUCAGCGUUUGCAGCCACUAAUAGAGCAAGCAAACCCUGGAUAAUUGACACUGGUGCUUCUAAUCACAUGACUGGAGAUGCCUCAAUGUUGCAGGAUUAUAAAGCUAGCAUCAACAGCACUUCAGUUCGGAUCGCAGAUGGCUCUCACACAAAAAUAGCAGGGACAUGUUCCAUCAGACUCACUAAGGAGUUACACCUUAAUUCUGUACUUUAUGUGCCUAAUUUGGCUUGCAAUUUACUUUCAAUCAGUAAAUUCACUCAUGAUCAGAAUUGUGUAACUAAAUUCUAUCCAAAUAUGUGUGUUUUUCAGGACUUGGAUUCGGGGAAGACGAUUGGCAGUGCUGAGCUAUGUUCUGGACUCUAUCUACUCAAAAGCGAUCAAUCCUCCUUCAUACAAGAUUCGAGAGCAAACUGUGCCAAGUCCAAUAGUCUGUCAACUAGUUAUCCUCAUUCUAUUGUUAGUCCAAAUGUCAAUAACGAUAGUGAAAUUGUUCUGUUAUACUAUUGAUUAGGUCAUCCUAGUUUCAUGUAUCUCGCAAAAAUUUUUUCCCAAUCUAUUCAUCAAUAAAAACCCUUUAUCCUUUCAUUGUGAAAUUUGUCAAUUUGCAAAACAUACUUGAAAUGUUUAUUCAAGUGUUAAGUAUAAGCCUUCUCGGCCAUUUGCUUUAAUUCACAGUGAUGUGUGGGGUUCCUCAAGAAUUAAAAAUGUUUCUGGGGCUCGCUGGUUUUUGUCAUUUGUGGAUGAUCAUACUCGUCUCACUUGGGUGUUUCUCAUGAAAAACAAAUCCGAAGUUAGUCAAAUCUUCCAAAACUUUAACGCCAUGAUUCAAACCCAAUUCAAUACCAAAAUCCAAGUCCUUAAAACCGACAAUGCCAAGGAAUAUUUCAAAGACUCCCUCAGCUCAUAUCUUCUCCAUCACGGCAUUCUUCACAUCAGUUCUUGUGUUGACACCCCGCAACAAAAUGGGGUCGCUGAACGCAAAAACAGACACCUUCUUGAAGUGGCUCGCUGUCUUUUGUUCUCAUCUCAUGUGCCUAAUUUUUUCUGGGGUGAAGUUGUUCUCACUACAGCCUACUUAAUCAACCGAAUGCCUUCUAGAGUCUUGGGGUUUCAUUGCCCAAGAAAAGUUCUUCUCAAUUUCUUUCCACACACUAGGAUUGUUUCAGCAGAUUUACCACAAAAAAUAUUCGGUUGCACAGCAUAUGUCCAUGUUCACUCUCAACACAGGACUAAACUUGAUUCCCGAUCUCUCAAGUGUAUAUUUUUAGGCUAUUCUCCACAUAAAAAAGGAUACAAAUGCUAUUCUCCUCACACCAGAAAAAUAUACAUUUCCAGAGAUGUAACAUUUGUUGAAAACCUGCCUUUCUAUUCCAAAACUGCUGUUCAGGGAGAGAGUACGAGCGAACAUCAGCCUUGGGAAUCUUCUUGGCAAUCUUGGCUGGAAACCCCUCAUGAAAACCCUCAUAACUCAACCACCACACAUGAUCAAUCUAUCCAACAGCCACAAUCAGCAAUCCUCCCAACAUCUUCACAGCCUUUUGAGUCAUCUGAGUCCUCCCAACCACAAUCAGCCGAGUCACCCCGUCAUCCAUCAGCUCAUCUACUACAGCCUCUAAUCUCACCUCUUCCACAACUUGCUGUUGAUAAUCUCAAUGUUUAUAGGAGGAGAAGAACUAGAGAGCAGAUAGAGCACGGAACUCAGCCACAUGUCCAAGAAACUGAACCAAAUCUAAGCUCUUGUGAAGACAACACAGGUAUGGAUAGUCUUGCCUCGGUUGAGUUCAUGGUUCCAAGUGUUGAUGAUUCUAAUAAAUCAAUUGCAGAAAGAAAGGGGGUUCGAAGUUGCACCACUCAUCCAAUUGCCAAAUAUGUCUCAUAUGAUGGUUUGUCCUCAUCAUACCGAGCCUUUGUUUCUUCUUUAGAUAAUCUACAUGUUCCCAACAAUAUACAAGAGGCUCUCGGUCAUCCUGAGUGGAAGAGAGCUGUUCAUGAAGAAAUAAAUGCUCUUGAGAAAAAUGAUACAUGGGUUAUAACAGAUCUUCCUGCAGGGAAACGACCAGUUGGAUGUAAGUGGAUUUUUACUGUUAAAUACAAGGCAGAUGGAAGUGUUGAGAGGCUCAAAGCUCGUCUUGUAGCUAAAGGGUUCACACAGUCAUAUGGGAUUGAUUAUCUUGAAACCUUUGCUCCAGUUGCAAAGCUCAACACCAUCAGAAUCAUGCUCUCCUUAGCAGUAAAUCUAGAUUGGUACUUAUACCAACUAGAUAUAAAAAAUGCGUUUCUCAAUGGCGAUCUUGAAGAAGAAGUGUUUAUGGAAGUUCCCCAGGGUCUUGAUCUGAAACUUACUGGAAAUAAAGUGUGCAAGCUCAAGAAAUCUUUGUAUGGGCUUAAACAAUCCCCUCGAGCAUGGUUUGAUAGAUUUGCGAAGGCAGUUGUGAGACUUGGUUACACUCAGUGUCAGGCAGAUCACACUCUAUUCCUCCGAACAUCACAAGCAAAGAAGAUCUCUCUCCUAAUCGUAUAUGUUGAUGACAUCAUUCUCUCAGGAAAUGAUGAGGAAGAACUGCAGAAGUUGAAGAAACAGCUAGCUCAGGAAUUUGAAGUUAAAGAUCUAGGGAAUCUGAAAUAUUUUCUUGGGAUGGAGGUGGCAAGAUCUAAAAAGGGAAUUGUUGUCUCCCAGAGGAAAUACACCCUGGACCUACUAAAGGAGACUGGUAUGAUUGGGUGCAAACCAGUAGAUACUCCUAUGGAUCCCUACAAGAAACUAGGCUCAGUUGAGAAUAGUGUUCCAGUCAAUAGAGGGAGAUAUCAAAGGCUGGUUGAUCGUUUAAUCUAUCUCUCACAUACCCGUCCGGACAUAGGCUUUGCUGUUAGUGCUGUGAGCCAAUUCAUGCACAAUCCUACAGAGGAACACAUGGAUGCAGUCUUUAGAAUUCUGAAGUAUCUGAAGAUGACACCUGGAAAAGGAUUGUUUUUCAAGAAAUCAGAAUAUAGUAAGAUGACACCUAGAAAAGGAUUGUUUUUCAAGAAAUCAGAAUAUAGGAAUAUUGAGAUCUACUCCGAUGCAGACUGGGCUGGAGACGUCACAAAUAGAAGAUCAACAUCUGCUUACUGUUCCUAUGUUUGGGGAAAUCUAGUAACCUGGAGGAGUAAGAAACAA